rnacentral:rRNA from 1 species
GACGUAGGGCGCGAGCGUUGUCCGGAUUUAUUGGGCGUAAAGAGCUCGUAGGCGGCUUGUCGCGUCGACUGUGAAAUCCCGCGGCUCAACUGCGGGUCUGCAGUCGAUACGGGCAGGCUAGAGUUCGGUAGGGGAGACUGGAAUUCCUGGUGUAGCGGUGAAAUGCGCAGAUAUCAGGAGGAACACCGGUGGCGAAGGCGGGUCUCUGGGCCGAUAACUGACGCUGGAGGGAGCGAAAAGCGUGGGGGAGCGAACAGG